rnacentral:rRNA from 1 species
UACGUAGGGUGCAAGCGUUAAUCGGAAUUACUGGGCGUAAAGCGUGCGCAGGCGGUUUUGUAAGUCAGAUGUGAAAUCCCCGGGCUUAACCUGGGAACUGCGUUUGAAACUACAAGGCUAGAGUGUGGCAGAGGGGGGUGGAAUUCCACGUGUAGCAGUGAAAUGCGUAGAUAUCUGGAGGAACACCGGUGGCGAAGGCGGCAUCCUGGACCGGCAUUGACGCUGAGGAGCGAAAGCCAGGGGAGCAAACGGG